rnacentral:rRNA from 1 species
GCCUUACGCCGGUUUUGGUGGCCCUAGGAAGGGGAGUCGAGCGGAGACGAGUUAUCUGAACCUUCUCGGGACGAUAACGGCGUCGAGCGGUGGAGGGGGGAGUAAUGCCGAGGAAAUUGCCCUGAUGUGGGGGAUAACCCUUGGAAACAAUAGCUAAAACCCCACGAGGCCUCCAGGGCACAAAGAGGGGCCUUCGGGCCUCUCGCGUCAGGAUAUGCCUAGGUGGGAUUAGCUAGUUGGUGAGGUAAGGGCUCACCAAGGGGACAAUCCCUAGCUGGUCUGAGAGGAUGAUCAGCCACACUGGAACUGAGACACGGUCCCCACUCCUACGGGGGGGAGCAGUGGGGAAUAUUGCACAAUGGGGGCCAGCCUGAUGCAGCCCUGCCGCGGGGGUGAAAAAAGCCUUCGGGUUGUAAAAAACUUUUUUUCGUGAGGAAGGGGGGGUCGUUAAUAACUGCCUUUUUUGACGUUUUCCACAAAAAAAACACCCGCUAACUCCUUGGCGGCAGCCGCGGUAAUACUGAGGGGGGGAGCGUUAAUCGGAAUUAUUGGGCGUAAAACGCACGCAGGUGGUUUUGUUAAAUCAUAUGUUAAAACCCGCGGGCUCAACCUCCGAAUUGCUUUUUUUAACUCGCAGACAACAGAACUGUAGAGGGGGGGGAGAAUUAUCAUCGUGGUAGCGGUGAAAAUGCGUAGAGAUCUGAAGAGAAUACCCGCUUGGCGCAGACGGGCCCCCUCGAGAGAUACUGACACUCAGAUGCUGAAAGCGUGGGGGAGCAAACACGAGUAGAUAACACUCGUAGUCCCCGCCGCCAAACAAUGUCUACUUGGAGGUUGUGGCCCUCGAGCCGUCGGCUUUCUGAGCUUACGCGUUAAGUAAAACCGCCCGGCGAGGACGCUCGCCACGAUUAAUAAAUCUCACAUAAAUAUGUCGGGCGGGCCCCCCAACAGUGGAGCAAGUGGGUCAAAUCGAUGCUACGCGCCGAAACAUUACCUCACU